GAUGAACGCUAGCGGCAGGCCUAACACAUGCAAGUCGAGGGAGAAGCCCUUUCGGGGGCAGACACCGGCGCACGGGUGCGUAACGCGUAUGCAACCUACCUUUCACAGGGGGAUAGCCCGAAGAAAUUUGGAUUAAUACCCCAUAAUAUUAUUGGAUGGCAUCAUUUGAUAUUUAAAAUUGCGUUGGGGAAAGAUGGGCAUGCGUCCUAUUAGCUAGUUGGAGUGGUAACGGCACCCCAAGGCUACGAUAGGUAGGGGUCCUGAGAGGGAGAUCCCCCACACUGGUACUGAGACAGGGACCAGACUCCUACGGGAGGCAGCAGUGAGGAAUAUUGGUCAAGGGUCGGAAGACUGAACCAGCCAUGCCGCGUGCAGGAAGAAUGCCUUAUGGGUUGUAAACUGCUUUUAUAUGGGAAGAAUAAGGCGUACGUGUACGUUGAUGACGGUACCAUAUGAAUAAGCAUCGGCUAACUCCGUG
rnacentral:rRNA from 1 species